AACGAACGCUGGCGGCAUGCCUAACACAUGCAAGUCGAACGAGACCUUCGGGUCUAGCGGCGCACGGGUGCGUAACGCGUGGGAACCUGCCUUUAGGUUCGGAAUAACUCAGAGAAAUUUGAGCUAAUACCGGAUAAUGUCUUCGGACCAAAGAUUUAUCGCCUUUAGAUGGGCCCGCGUUGGAUUAGCUAGUUGGUGGGGUAAAGGCCUACCAAGGCGACGAUCCAUAGCUGGUCUGAGGGGAUGAUCAGCCACACUGGGACUGAGACACGGCCCAGACUCCUACGGGAGGCAGCAGUGGGGAAUAUUGGACAAUGGGCGAAAGCCUGAUCCAGCAAUGCCGCGUGAGUGAUGAAGGCCUUAGGGUUGUAAAGCUCUUUUACCCGAGAUGAUAAUGACAGUAUCGGGAGAAUAAGCUCCGGCUAACUCCGUGCCAGCCGCCGCCGUAACAC
rnacentral:rRNA from 1 species